GAUGAAGAACGUAGCGAAAUGCGAUAAGUAAUGUGAAUUGCAGAAUUCAGUGAAUCAUCGAAUCUUUGAACGCACAUUGCGCCCGCUAGUAUUCUGGCGGGCAUGCCUGUCCGAGCCUCAUUUCAACCCUCAAGCCCCCGGGCUUGGUGUUGGGGAUCGGCGAGCCUCCGCGCCCGCCGUCCCCUAAAUCUAGUGGCGGUCUCGCUGUAGCUUCCUCUGCGUAGUAGCACACCUCGCACUGGGAAACAGCGCGGCCACGCCGUUAAACCCCCAACUUCUGAACGUUUGACCUCGGAUCAGGUAGGAAUACCCGCUGAACUUAAGCAUAUCAAUAAGCGGAGGA
rnacentral:misc_RNA from 1 species